CAGCUCUCCGAGUAGUGUGGAUGUUUAUUGGGCCUAAAGCAUCCGUAGCUUGCUAAGCAAGUCCCCUGUUAAAUCCACCGAUUCAAUCGAUGGUUUGCGGGGGAUACUGUUUGGCUAGGGGACGGGAGAGGUCGACGGUAUUUCCGGGGUAGGGAUGAAAUCCUAUAAUCCCGGGAGGACCACCAGUGGCGAAGGCUGUCGACUAGAACGCGCCCGACGGUGAGGGAUGAAAGCUGGGGGAGCGAACCGGAUUAGAUACCCGAGUAGUCC
rnacentral:rRNA from 1 species